rnacentral:rRNA from 1 species
AUGAGAAUUUUAAAUGAGGCGCUCCGCUCAUAAAGAUAAAGGUGGAGUUUACUGUUGAAUAAAUAAUAUUAAUAGUAAAUUUUAUGUAGGUAGUUCUACUGAUUUAAGAACUAGAUGAGCUUGCGCCAUAAAUAUUAUAGUAUUAAAAACUUAAAUGAAAAAAGAACACCUAUACAUAAUGCCUUGUUAAAAUAUGGAUAUAGUAAUUUUUCAUUGGUAAUAUUAGAAUAUACAGGUGGGCUUUAUUUCCGAUCCUACGGAUCGGAAAUCAGCAAGCUAUAGCUCAUGAAAAUCCCAUAAAUAAAGAACAACUUUAUUUAGACUUGUUAAAACCUGAAUAUAAUAUAUUAGGUACAGCAGGUUCUAGUUUAGGAUUUAAACAUUCAGAACAAACUCUAGAGUAUUUUAGAGAAAAUCGAAUAGUUUCAGAUGAAACUCGUAAUAAUUUAAGUAUAGCCGCUAGAGAAAGAAUAUUACCUCAAGAGGUUCGAGAUAAAAUAUCCGAAAAUCGUAAAGGUAUAAAGCUUUCGGAUAAUACGCGUGCAAAGAUUUCAGAGUCAGCUAUACUUUUAAGAGGUGUAAAAGUAAACGUAACUAACGUCGAAACUAAUGAGGUAUUAUCUUUUGAUAAUUUAACCUCUGCUGCUAAACACAUAGGUGUUAGCAGACCGGCCGUAGCCAAGGCUUUAAAAACUGGUAGUCUAAUUAAAGGCACAUUUAAAAUCAACGAAUAGUUGAUUAAUUAGUAUUUAUUAUUUGUUAAAUGGACGAUUAAGUAUUUAUAGGUUACUUAAUUGUUUAGGGAGAAGGACUUCAGCUUUAUCUGGCGUAAGCCUGAUAGAAGAAGUAGAUUCGUUUCUGCGAAACCUAUAAUAGUAGGCAAUUUAAGUAUAAUAUCUUAGCAGGUACAGAAUUUAAUCUCAGACAAGACAUAACAUGUAUGUUUUAUUUUGUACAAAUGGGGGGAUCAUGAAGAUUUUAUCCGUGAGUAUGCAGACUCGGAAUGGCAAAGAUAUAUCUUAAAUUAUCAGACAUAGAAUGAUAAGGUUGUAUGUCAAAAGGGAAACAGCCCAGAACAAGAGUUAAGGUUCCUAAAUUAUUCGUUGAGUGAAAUUAAGAAGGUUUUUAUUAAAGUCGACAAGGAGAUAGGCUUAGAAGCAGCCAUAAUUUUAUGACCUCGUAACAGAGCGCUUGUUAAAUUUUAAAAGCAUCGAAAAUUUAUCGGAUCUAAACAAUAUACCGAAACCUUGUCCAUAAUAAUUUAUAAUAAUUCAAGGCUGAGCUUGCUGUAUUUCUGGCGCAAGCAAAGAAAUACAGCAAGCUCUAGCUUUUUAUAAUUAAAUGGGGUAGCAGAACGUUGAGCUAAAUUAUGAUUUUCAUUUUUUAAAUGAAAUUAUGUGCGGCUUUCACCGUAAAGUGCCUAAAUUUAACUCAAGUGAUAAUGGUGACAUGAGUAACUAAAAGAAAAUAAAAUUUUCCGCCUUAAGCUUAUGGAUGUAAUUAAGUAACGGCCUCUAAGUUUAUAUUAUCUAAAGAUUUAAACGAUGAGAUAAUCUUUAUUACUAAGGACGACAUUUAAAGUGAUAAAUGUACUGGAAAAAUAGUAAUAUAUUUAUAUAUGAGCUCUUGCUCUAUAUAAAUGAAAAGUAACCGUACCUAGAAUCUGAAACAAGUAAGCUAGUAGAGAAUACGAAGGCGUAAAUGAGCUAACAAUCAUAAAGGAACUCGGCAAAUUGACUACCGUAACUUCGGGAUAAGGAGAGCUCAUUAUUCUUGAUUAAUAUCAAGUAAAGAGGAAGAAGCAUGAAAUAGUGUUGUACGACUGUUUAAUUAAAACACAGCACUCUGCUGAAAGAUUAAAAAUCUAAGUAUAGAGUGUGAUGUCUGCCCGGUGCCGGCUGGUUAACAGAUAUAAUUCGAUAUACUAAUAUCGGAUGUAGACGGAAACCCCGGUUAAAGGCGGCCUUAACGUGAGGGUCCUAAGGUAGCGAAAUGCCUUGGCCGUUAAAUGCGGUCUUGCAUGAAUGAUGUAACGAUACAACAGCUGUCUCUAUGAUUGACUCAGUGAAAUUGGAAUAGCUGUGCAGAUACAGUUUACCUCUAGUUAGACGAGAAGACCCUAUGCAGCUUUACUGUCACUAAUUAUAGAGUAUGAUAAACAAUUUUCAGAUUAUAAGGUAAUUGACUAAAUGACAAUGAGAAUCCUUUAUUUUUUUUUCAUAUGAAUGAAUUGGUUUAGGAUUAAGAGUUGUAUAGUAAGCUGUAAUUUCUUAUUUCUACUGAAAUAUAGAAACCAGCAAGCUUUCAACUUAUUUUAGUAAAUCAACCUAGUUCAGCUUAUUUUAUUGAAUAAAAUAAGUACCCUUUGGUAAGGAACUAUCGCUAGGGGACAGUUUAUGUGGGGCACAGACCCUGUAAAGAGUAAACAGGAGUGUCUAAUAAUUUAAAAUUAUUUUGUUUGCGAUUUAAGGUAGUAAGCUAUUUAAUAUAGCUACAACUAUUUUUAAUCAUAUAUUAAUUAUUUAUAUGUACGUUCUUCGGUUGGUUAGAGAUAUAGCUUUGGCCAACACGAAGUCCGUAUAUAUAUUUAAAAUAAGGUAGGAUUUUCACUAUAUUGAAAUUAGAGAUAAUUAAAAAGAUUAUGUUAGACACUAACUAUCUAAUCUUUUUUAACUAUUAAGUUUUAAUAGUUAUGUUUUAAAUAUCUAAAAAGCUCAACGGCUAAAUCUUGCCUUACUGUUUGAUUAUCAACAAAUCUUACAGUUGCGUAAGCAGGGCAUAGGAUCACAAGAUGCAACAAGGAAAGAUCUUGGAUUAUUGGAAAAGCUACGCUAGGGAUGUUUGUCCUUUAAUAUUUUAUUUUGUAUGUAGGUUGGCUAUACUUAUAGCUCUUCUAUAUGCA